CAGAAAUAUGCAAUCAUUUGACGUUUGCAAGGUAAUUGGUUAGGCACGAGAUUCACAAACAAAUCGAUUCUGCGCACCGUUCACGCCGCCACAUGUUAUAUCACCGUUCAUUCAUUAGUUUAGCAUUUCAGUACGAAUGUUGCAAUUGUGUGGACGUUAUCACAGAUGACCUAGUGUACCCCGCUCUCUGAAAUAGUUCUUUAUAAAACGUUGGAUAGUGAAUGUUGUCGAAGGCAAUAAUUGCCAAGUGAAUCAUAUUGGAAUUACAAAUACCUCGAGCAACAGGACAUAUGUUGGAUAUUCGCCUUACAUAUAUAGUGUCGCAGAAAAGUGAACCAAUAUUACAUUUCAACUCAAAACUGUUGGAGAAAUCGAACAUUGUCUAUAAAUGACAAAUAAGGAAACAACCAAAUCUGGCAACCACUGAGUCUGGAGUUGGAAGCGCGGUUUGCACGGAUGCCGUCAUCGAACUUGAUGUAAUUCGACGGAUUAAUAACGCUAAAUCUGCCUUCGCUGUUUUGCCCCGAAUUCGUAUAUACAACAACCUCAAGUUUCAAAAGCUCCAAACUUUCAUCAGUUCAUGUCCGCGGCGUAUUCUGAAACAAUACGUAACUCAUGAAGAAUCGGGUGGGUGUACCGGCCUGAUGUCAUUUUGAUCAGAGUCUGGAAGUGACAGUAGAUAGGUCAUACAUUGAGAAAGGACGGCAACUGCUUCGCGGGUUAUGCCAUGUAAUGGAACCCACUAUCUCAGGAUGGCUGACGAGUGGGUCGCCCUAGAACUACGUGGUGCAGAGCUGUAGAGAAAGAGUGCAAGCUUCUCGGAAAAUCGUGGACGGAGUUGAGGUGCAUUGCCAAAAACCGACCAUGAUGGCGUGUAUGUGUGGUUGACGCGCUGUGCCCCAUAUGACAACCACUAAAUUUCAUUUGUUUCUGCUAGAACAUGAUAGAUAUUAAAUUAGAAUAAAUACAUAAGUUAUCGAGUUACUAAUUGGAAUUGGAAGAACGUAGGCAGAACUUUGUAGUUUUUACAUUAUUAGAUAAAUUUAAUAUUGCCCUUAACGAAUUAAAAGAUUAGAACCCAAAAAUAUACGAUUAUUUGUUCCUUUUAAACCAAAAGAACCUAUUUAGGUUAUUCUAUGAAAAAAAUGAAAUGAAAAAGUCGAAAUACCGGACGAUGGAUGCUUCGAGUAUAAAGGUUUCGUCUUCAUCUUUUAUUAGAAAUUUUCUAUGCACCUUUUUUUCAUUCCUACACAGCUAAAAAUUCAAAAUAUCGCUUGAUAUGUCUCUAAACUCCGACUUCGCCGUUCGUAUGAGUUCACUUUGUAUGAUAAUGACAUCAUGUGCAUUGUAGAGUGCAAUAAAUUCACACCAAAUAUGAAA